rnacentral:rRNA from 2 species
UGGCUCAGAUUGAACGCUGGCGGCAGGCCUAACACAUGCAAGUCGAGCGGAUGACGGGAGCUUGCUCCUUGAUUCAGCGGCGGACGGGUGAGUAAUGCCUAGGAAUCUGCCUGGUAGUGGGGGACAACGUUUCGAAAGGAACGCUAAUACCGCAUACGUCCUACGGGAGAAAGCAGGGGACCUUCGGGCCUUGCGCUAUCAGAUGAGCCUAGGUCGGAUUAGCUAGUUGGUGGGGUAAUGGCUCACCAAGGCGACGAUCCGUAACUGGUCUGAGAGGAUGAUCAGUCACACUGGAACUGAGACACGGUCCAGACUCCUACGGGAGGCAGCAGUGGGGAAUAUUGGACAAUGGGCGAAAGCCUGAUCCAGCCAUGCCGCGUGUGUGAAGAAGGUCUUCGGAUUGUAAAGCACUUUAAGUUGGGAGGAAGGGCAGUAAGYUAAUACCUUGCUGUUUUGACGUUACCGACAGAAUAAGCACCGGCUAACUCUGUGCCAGCAGCCGCGGUAAUACAGAGGGUGCAAGCGUUAAUCGGAAUUACUGGGCGUAAAGCGCGCGUAGGUGGUUUGUUAAGUUGGAUGUGAAAGCCCCGGGCUCAACCUGGGAACUGCAUCCAAAACUGGCAAGCUAGAGUACGGUAGAGGGUGGUGGAAUUUCCUGUGUAGCGGUGAAAUGCGUAGAUAUAGGAAGGAACACCAGUGGCGAAGGCGACCACCUGGACUGAUACUGACA